GACGAACGCUGGCGGCGUGCUUAACACAUGCAAGUCGAACGAAGUGGCGAACGGGUGAGUAACGCGUAAUCAACCUGCCCUUCAGAGGGGGACAACAGUUGGAAACGACUGCUAAUACCGCAUAUUGAAGGAGGGGAUUGCGUCUGAUUGGCUGGUUGGAGGGGGAACGGCCCACCAAGGCGAUGCUCAGUAGGCGGUCUGAGAUGAUGGACGGCCACAUUGGGACUGGAGCACGGCCCAGACCCCUACGGGGGGCAGCAGUGGGGGAUCUUCCGCAAUUGAGGAAAGUCUGACGGGGCAACGCCGCGUGAGUGAUGACGGCCUUCGGGUUGUAAAGCUCUGUUAAUCGGGACGCGGUACCGGAAUAGAAAGCCACGGCUAACUACGUGCCAGCAGCCGCGGUAAUAC
rnacentral:rRNA from 1 species